rnacentral:rRNA from 1 species
CCUACGGGCGGCAGCAGUGAGGAAUAUUGGUCAAUGGGCGCGAGCCUGAACCAGCCAAGUAGCGUGAAGGAUGACUGCCCUACGGGUUGUAAACUUCUUUUAUAAAGGAAUAAAGUGAGGCACGUGUGCCGUUUUGUAUGUACUGUAUGAAUAAGGAUCGGCUAACUCCGUGCCAGCAGCCGCGGUAAUACGGAGGAUCCGAGCGUUAUCCGGAUUUAUUGGGUUUAAAGGGAGCGUAGAUGGGUUGUUAAGUCAGUUGUGAAAGUUUGCGGCUCAACCGUAAAAUUGCAAUUGAUACUGGCAGCCUUUAGUACAGUUGCGUUCGGCGGCAUUCGUGUUGUAGCUGUGACAUGCUUCGCUCUCACGCAGAACUCCGCUUGCGAAGGCAGCCUACUAAACUGCCACUGACAUUGCUGCUCGAACGUGUGGGUAUCACACAGGAUUAGCUACCCGAGUAGUC